AACGAACGCUGGCGGCAUGCCUAACACAUGCAAGUCGAACGAGACCCUCGGGUCUAGUGGCGCACGGGUGCGUAACGCGUGGGAAUCUGCCCUCUGGUACGGAAUAACUCAGGGAAACUUGAGCUAAUACCGUAUAAUGACUUCGGUCCAAAGAUUUAUCGCCUGAGGAUGAGCCCGCGUCGGAUUAGCUGGUUGGUGAGGUAAAGGCUCACGAAGGCGACGAUCCGUAGCUGGUCUGAGAGGAUGAUCAGCCACACUGGGACUGAGACACGGCCCAGACUCCUACGGGAGGCAGCAGUGGGGAAUAUUGGACAAUGGGCGAAAGCCUGAUCCAGCAAUGCCGCGUGAGUGAUGAAGGCCUUAGGGUUGUAAAGCUCUUUUACCCGGGAUGAUGAUGACAGUACCGGGAGAAUAAGCCCCGGCUAACUCCGUGCCAGCCGCCGCAGUAA
rnacentral:rRNA from 1 species